CAACUGCUUUAUCCGCGUAUUCCUUGGUGUUUUCUGUAGAUUGCCUUAUUUCAUUUGUGAGGUCAUUCCUGAUGUCUUGAAGCAUUCUGUAUAUAAUUUUUUUAUAUUCUACAUUUGGCAAUUCUAGGAAUGUAUCUACAUCUGGGAAUGAUUUUGAUUCUUUGAUUUGGGGGUUUGUAGAAGGAAUCAUGGUCUGCUUCUUCAUGUGAUUUGAUGUCGACUGCUGUCUCUGAGCCAUUUAUAAGAUAUUGUAAUAUUUUAUAUUUGCUCACUGAGUCUUAUCUUCUUAUUUUGUUUUGUUACAAUACACCCAGAUGGGCUACUAGAUUGUGGUAUCGUGAUUGAUGUAGCUUUUGAAUCACUUACGUCCUGUUACCAGCUUGCCUGAGCUGUUACCAGGUAUAUAAGUGUAUGAGUCCAUUCACUAUUCUUGAAUACAAUCAGCUCAGGUGUCCUGAUAGCUGGUCACCUAGUGUGUGGUGUAGGCUCUCACCUAUUAUCUUAGAGGAGUAGUGGUGAUGGUUGUAUGCACCAGUUUCUAUUAGUGGCAGGGGGUCACAUUUCGAGGAGGGCAGGAUGCUGACAGCCUUCCUUCAAGUGUCAGUGAGGUAGGUGUGGCUCUAUUCUCUAGAGCACUCUGGUGGGUGGGCUUUGCAGCUGUAUCUUAGGCACCCAAUGCUUGGGUAGGCGUCACUAUUCUCAGACCCCUCUAGCAGGUGGCUAGGUGAUGUGGGUGGAGUCUCAGCCCUCAGUUCGCUGGUGUGGAUCAGCGAGGGCUCUGUUUAAUAGGUAGAGAGGUAUCUGACCUCCAAAACUUGCCUUUCCACUGCUGAGCUAAAACAAUUAUGGUCAGAUCUCUAUCAGAAUUGCCUUUACAUUGUAAUAGCCACCUAGUUACCUGUAGGGUGAAAGCCAAAGACUAUGGGUCUGUUAAUGCCUGGAUGGAGCUGAUUCUGUACUGUUAUUUCAGUUUAGGGAAGUCAGGGAAGGAUUUUUUCUUUGAUUGUUAAAUGCUGCUUUUCUCAGGCCAGGAGAAUGGGUUAGAAAAGAAAGAAGAAAAAAAAUUCAGCAGUGCACUUCACUCUCUGGCACAGAGGAUUCCAAUGUUAAUGAAGCUGGCUGGGGCAAUGAGGGGUGGAAUCAGAUAUAUAGAAGAGAGUAGCCUGGCAAAAUAUACAAAGUUACUUAUGUUGUUUGGUGAGAACUGUUUUUUCUGAGAUUCCAGAGCAUUGUGUCGCUCGUGUGUGCUGGCUGGAUCCCUGCUGAGACUGUCCCAGAGGGUUAGGGCUGCAUCCAUGCUCACACUGUCUCAGGAAGCCACAAUCGGCUCCCCCACACUUAGUCCAAAGCCCAGCACCAAGGUUUCCUUUCUGGGACGCUGCACUCCAGGCUCCAAAACCAGUCGCUGCUUCCCUAUAGUUUUUCGUUUCCCUGUCAGCCGCGUCUGUGUGGAGCCUGCGUGUGCUGCCUGGGUCCCCUCUGAGGUUGGUCCUGAGGGUUAGGCCUAUAUCUGUUCUUCCCUGUCUCAGUAAACCACAAUCAGCCCCACCACUCUGACACCAGGAAACCGCGAGGGCUCAAGGCUGCGGCGUGGGACACUGGCUCUGGAAGCGGUCCCUGCUGCAGCGUGGCUUUCGCUCCCCCGUCACUCAGGUCAACUCCUUAGUUCUGUGUUUGAUGGUCAGGGUUUGUAGAUUGUCCUUUAUGUAAUCAGUUCACUUGUUUUUUCGAGUCUUUGUUUCAAGAAGUAUAAGCGGAAUCUUCUACCUAGUCAGCCAUCUUGGUCCUGCCCCCGUGUCUGCCUCUUUAUGUGAUUUGGUAUUGACUGUUGUCUCUGAGCAAUCUAUAAGUUAUUGUAUUAGUUUAUUUUAUGCUUGCUUUUUGUAUCCUAGCUUCUUGCUUUGUUUAGUUUUGGUAUUCCCAAAUAAGCUGCUUGAGUGCGCUAGGUUGAUUAUUUUCACCUUUGAAGCUCUAAUGUACUAUCACCAGAUGGCUAGCACUGUUACCAGGUAUAUGAGCCUAGGAGUUCAUUUACUUUUCUUGUAUGCAUUCAACUCAGGUGCCCAGGUAGUUGGUCAUAAAGUGUGUGGUACAGGCUCUGUCCUACCGUCUUAGAGGGGCAGGGGUUAUUGGUGUAGGCAGAAGUAUCUGGCUGCAGUAGGGGGUCAGGCUCUGAUCAAGGCAGGGGUCUGACAGCUGUCCUCUGAGUGUCUGUGAGGAAAGUGCAUCCCUGUUCUGUAGAGCACACGGGUGGGUUCUGCAGAAGGGCGAUGGGUACCCAAUGCUUUUGGUUGUAAGUUCUGGGAGGUACUACUUACCCUUGGAGCCCUGUCACAGGAGGCUAGGUAUUGUGGGUGGAGCCACCAGUCCUUAGGCCCCUGAUGUGGGUAGGUGAAGACGCCGUUUAAUAGGCAAAGCAGUGUCAAACAUCAAACACCCAUCUUUCCACCGUUCAGCUGAAACAGUUGCAGUCUGGCGACAAGGGCCUAUUCUCCUGAAAUGGGCCCACACAGGUCCAUGCUGGGGUGAAAGGUAUUCAAAGCCCAUGGACUGUUUGUGCCUGAACAAGAGCUGCUUCUGUCCUGAGCUCCCCAGCUUAAUUGAGCUGGCAGAUUAUCUUUCCCCCAGUUGUGAACUUAUACCUUCUUCAAGGAUGGAAAAAUGGCUCAGAGUGGUACCAGGGCCUAUCUCAGGCCCAGGGAAGUUGACAGCCACUGAAGCCGGCUUGGGGGCUGGGGGCGUGGUAAAAUAAACACAAGUAAUUAGCUUUUGCUGAGAGUGCCGUUCUUCUCUUGUUCUGGAGGUGUGAGUAGUCUGUGCAACUUGCUGUCCUUCCCUGAGCUAAACGCCUCUGGAACACUACUGCCAGCCCCGCUGCAGUCGCUCCAGGGAACGGUGCCUGAGGGUUCCUGGCUGUUCAGGUCCAGUAACUCCUCUCCACUUCUGAAUAGUCUCUCCCUCCCCCUGCCGCUGAGUCCAUUUUCUAACUUUACCUUUGAUGUUCAGGGCUCCUAGCUUGUCAUAAAUAUAAUCGCUUCACUUGUUUUUUCUGGUCUUUUUUGUAAGAGGGAUCACUGGUGGCGUCUCAAUACUCAAAACUUCAUCAUUUCUUCCUUUCACUUUAGCUACUCGACAUUCAAGAGCAACGUUCAGAGUCUCUUCCGACAUCCGUUUUGGUCUUUUCUUUCUUUCCUGUCUUUUAAAGGAUCUCUUGCUUUCCUCAUGUGUGAUGUCCUUGAUGUCAUUCCACAACUCGUCUGGUCUUCAGUCGUUAGUGUUCAACACGUAAAAUGUGUUCUUGAGGUGGUCUCUAAAUACAGGUGAGAUAUACUCAAGGUCAUAUUUUGGCCCCUUUUGACUUAUUCUAAUUUUCUUCCGUUUCAACUUGAACUCCCAUAUGAGCAAUUGACAGUCUGUUUCACAAUCGAUCCCUGGCCUUGUUCUGACUGAUGAUAUGAGUUUUCCCAUCUUCUCUUUCCACAGAUGUAGUCAGUUUGAUUCCCGUGUAUUCCAUCUGGUAAAGUCCACGUGUAUAGCUGCCGUUUAUGUUGGUGAAAAAAAAUAUUUGCAGUGGAUGAGUCACUGGUCUUGCAAAAUUCUUUCAUGAGAUUUCUGGCGUCAUUUAUUUCAGUGAUGCUGUAUUUUCCAACUACUUUUCCUUCUUUGUUUCCAACUUUAACAUUCUAAUGACCAGUAAUUAUCAAUGCAUCUUGAUUGCAUCUUUGAUCAAUUUCAGGCUGCAGAAGUUGUUUAAAAUCUUCAAUUUCUUUAUCUUUGGCAUUAGUGGUUGGUGCAUAAAUUUGAAUAGUCAUAUAAACUAGUCUUCCUUGUAAGUGUAUGGAUUUUAGCCUAUCAGUGACAACAUUGUACUUCAGGCUAGAUCUUGAAAUGUUCUCUUUGAUGAUAUGUAACGUCAUUCUUUUGACUCUGGUGGAAUAUCCAUGUUUGUAAGACUGCUCACAGACUGUUUUACCAGAGAGUUUUCUGGUACUGCAACAUCUACCACUAAUCUCUGUGAUCCCUUUGAAUUGGCAAAAUAAGAAUAGUGCUAUAGAUUUCUUCCAAAUACAGAAAACAUAAGUAUGAAAAUGUUCUUGCUGUUGAUUAUAUUCUUUACCAAUCUGUUUGUAUGGGAUUUUUGGUACUUCACUUGAAAAAUGAGUCCAAGGUACUGUGAUGUGAUUGUUUACUUUGUGUGGCCUUUCUAGCCAUGGUCUUAUAACAUCCACCCUGGUGCUUGGGCAGGACUGUGUGAUAGGGUAAUUGUGGCUCACCAAGAGGAUUGUUUAUUUUGCCUUCAAAGAGAACCAGUUCCAGAGCAAAGAGGAGGAUUCAACUCCCAUCAAGGAAGAACAGCCAAGAGCCGAGCGUAUAUUAUGGACCUGAGAUCCCUGCACUGAGAAGCUCCUAGAAGCAGGAGACUGAGAUAGAGAGAGGAAGCUGUAACCCUGAAGAUGCUUAAAUACAGACCAGAAGAGGAGUUUGGGGCUUGACACCUGACAUCUUAACACCAGUUCCUGUUUCUUGAGGAAGGAAGAGGUAAAAUAAAUCAGCGUUUGCUGUUUCCUUCUCCAUCCCCGGAAGUCCUGAUGAAGACCCUCUCAGGUAAGGAUUGACAGGGAGUGGCUUGGUUUACUAUUCAACUUUGUCCUUCAGUAACUUUGUUUAUGUCCUGCAUGUAAACUGUUGUGCAUUGAGAAGCAUUCUAAUUCUUGUGCAGAAGGACUAGACCUCCUGCAGAAUGACUAUAUUGUGCCUCCCUCGGGCACCCCUGUCUGCGCAGCACCCCCCAACGCCAACUGCCCAACCGCCUCUCUCCUGGCAUUCUGCUUCUAGAAGCAUGUUCUUUUGAUGCAGAGAUGCAGCACACACAGAAUCCCAGCUGGAUUACAGACUUGAACCUGAAGACCUUAUGCAGAAUGACAAUUUAUGAACCACUAAGCUCAGUACUAAAGCAGGUACUUACCCCUCAGAGAAGGCCCUGGGGGAGGUUGACACCUGCAUUCCCCAGCGCUCCUGCUGCUCUAGAAGUGCCUGAAAUGCCUCUCUGGGAAAGGCCUUCAGAGUAGUAGGCUCAUGGCCCACGUGGGAAUUCAGGCCUAUUUUUCUGUUAGAACAUCUCAUUUCGCUCUGAAAAUAUUAUUAUCCAGUUUAUCCACCAGGCAUGAGUACAGACAUCUCAUAUUUUCAAAAUUAACCCCAUUCUCUAAUACUAAUGUGCCACCAAGAGUAUAUUCCAAAGUUUUUCCAAUAGGCUAGAAAGUCUUUGCAAAGAGGGGAGUCCUGCGCCAUGUUGUGCAGUGACAACAGGGUUGGCAUAAUAUGUUUACCGAGAUACCUACCACUUUUUUUAAUUUUUUAUUGUGCUUCAUUUGAAACUUUACAGAGCAAAUUACUUUCUUGUUCAACCAUUUAUACACAAUUGUUUUGUGACAUUGGUUGCAAUAUUCAUGAUGUGUCAAUAUUGUCCUCUCCUAUGCUCCAGUUCCCCGUUUCCAUCCGCCAUGAUUCCUGUUCUGUCCUGCCCUCUUUUCAGUGCUUUUGGGCUGGUUUUGUACUUUUGGUCUCAUACACAUGAUUGAACUAAGAAACACUUUCUUCACGUGUGUUGUUGUUUGUUUUAUAGACCUGUCUAAUCUUUGGUGGAGGGCGAACUUCCGAAGAUACUUUCCACUUUGUUGCUUUCCAUAAUUCCUGAAAUUCCAAGCCUGCCACCUGAAGAACUUCCUUUAGUGUUUCAUUUAGAGCAAGUCUGGUGGCGAUGAAUUCUCUUAAGCGUCUUUCACCUGAGAAUGUCAAUAUUUUUCCUUUACUCAUGAAGGAAAUAACAGCCUAUAGAACACCGGGUUAAUGUUUCUUUUCUUUCAGUGUUGAAAAAAUGUUGUUUUCACAGCCUUUUCGCCUCCAUGGCUUCUGAUGAUGAAUACAGAGUCAUUCCAAUUGUUUCUCCUGUGUGAGAUGAGUUGUUUUCUCUCUAGCUUCUUUGAAGAUAUUUUCUUGGUCCUUGUUAUUCCACAAUUGACAAUGAGGCAUUUGGGCAUAAAAUUAUGUGAGUUUAACUUGUUGGAGUUUGCAUAGCUUCUUGAAUCUGUAAGUUUGUGUCUUUCAACAAAUUGGGAAAGUGUUGAGCCAGUAUUUCUUCAGAUACUUUUUUCUACACCACAUAUUUUUUCUACACCGUAUGGAAUUCCAAUAAAUAAAUGUUAGAUAUUUUUGAAUUUUUUUGAGGCUCUGUUCAUUUUUUUUCAAUAUUUGUUCUCUGUUUUCAGAUUGGAUAUUUUCAAUUGAACUGUUUUCAUCUCAUUGAUCCUUUUGUCUGUCAACAGCAUUCCGCUGUAGAGCUGAUCAAGUGAAUUUUUUAUCCUAUUUUUCUGUUUUUCCUGUCUAAAAUUUUCAUUUGUGAAUGGUUUCUAUGUAUUUUUCUAUUUUUCUAAGUUGUGCCUGUUACUUCUUUGAGCAUGGUUAAAGUAGCUUUUUAAAGUUUUUGUCUGUGAUUCCAAGACUGUGUCUUACUUCAAUCUUACAGAAAAUGUCGAUGUUGUUUGUUUUAGGAAUCACUUGACCCAGUUAUGUUCAGGCUGCAGGUUCUUUCCCAACUUCUGUGUGCUGUGGCUCAGAUGUCAGUUCAGAUUUUGAAGACUUUGCAGUGAUAUUUGGAUGUAAUCUAUGGGAGUGUCACUCAGUCUGGGACCUUGUUGGUGUUCUAACCCAUAAUGCAGUUCUCAAAGGAUUGAUCUACUUCUUAGGGUCAGAGCAAAGCAUAUGCAACUGUGGGAGUGGGGAGGGGUAUGAAAAACAACUUUAUGGUAUCCCCCUCUUGAGCCGCCUGGUCUCUGUCUCUCUGAGGCUCUCUGAUGUCUGAGCAGCUACCUUCCUGGUCCACUGGCAAGAAUGUUGGGGCUUUAAUCUCUUCAUUCUGCUGCACAAUUAAGUGACUGGGUCUGCGUAUGAGGCCAAAUAAUGGUAAGAUGGAGAAAAUGUAACAGAGAUUCCUGUACAUUAUUUGGUCCUUAUAUACUUAGGUCAGAGAGAAGGCACACUGUUUCGGGUGAUACUUUGAAACAGGUAUGGAGAAAAAGGCAUUAACAGGUCGAUAGCUGCAUACUAGGUGUUACGGAUUAAAUUCUGUCUUCCCAAAAUGUAUAUAUCAGCUUGACUAGGCCAUGCUUCUCAGUAUUGUGCGAUUAUCCACCAUUUUGUCAGCUGAUGUGAUUUUCCAAUGUAUUGUAAAUCAUACCUCUAUGAUGUUAAUGAUCGAGGAUUUGAAGCAGUUAUGUUAAGGAGGCAGGGCUCAGUCUACAAGAUUAAGUUGUGUUUUAAGUCAAUCUCUUUUAAGAUAUAAAAGAGAAAAGAGCAGAGAGACAGGGGGACCUCAGUAGCACCAAGAAAGAAGUGUCAGGAGCAGUGCAUCCUUUGGACCUAGGAUCCCUGUGCUGAGAACCUUCUUGUCCAGGGGAAGAUUGGUGACAAAGACCUUCUCGUAGGAGUGACAGAGAGAAAAAGCCUUCCCCUGGAGUUGGCACCCUGAAUUUGGACUUAUAGCCUCCUAGACUGUGAGGGAAUAAUUUUCUUUGUUAAAGUCAUCCAUUUGUGGUAUUUCUGUUACAGGAGCACUAGAUAUCUAAGACGCUAGGUACCAGGAGAUGUACAUUUCCCAGCUCUUUCGCUCCCAGGGACACUAUGACUAAGUAGCCAAUGCCAUAAAUCCAUGCGAGCAGACUGUUCUGAUUACUGCUUUGACUCUACUGUCUGUUAUGGUAACCACACCCACCUUGUCUUUGUUGAUUGAGUGCCACCACUUGGAUGCUACCACCAUGGGGUCCAGUCAACUGCAUUGUAGUCAGGUGUCUUAAUUCAGUUAGGGCAGUUCUCACUGUGGACUCUUACUUACAUAAAAUAGCAACCACAGAAGUCUUCAAUAAUGCUGGGGCUUGCUUCCCAAAUUUGUACCUCACUGCUAUGGUAAAAAGAGAGCCCUCUGGGCACUCCGUGUGUGGGUCUGUGGGUCCAGCCUAAUAAAUCCAUUCUAACAUUCCAAUUUCCCUCAGCCUUUGGAUACCUUCUCCUACAGUAUACAAUGGCAGAUCUGCCAUUUCCACUUGAUUUAUUUUAGGCCACCACUUAAUCCAUGCUUCAGUAAACCAGCCAAAUAAACUAUGAGAUCCUUUUCUAACCUCUCAAGCUGAAACACUGAAUGAAGAAUCUAUGCUUCCUGGGCCUAUAUCAAUAAACUCAGACUAAUCCACCUUUAUGUUGCUUGCACCGUUAUCCCACACCCAAAAUAGCCAUUCCCACACAUAUUCACCAGGUUUCUGUAUGUAUAUAUUAGAAAAAUCAAGCAGUUCUUUUGGAGUUUAGCAUAGCUUAUCCUGGGUCACACUUCAUAGCUCACCUUUUGGGGCUUGUUGGGACUGAAGUCUAGGUAUAGGUCUAGAAGCAAAAAUGGGCAGAGGCAGUGGGAUGUUCAGCCGUGUCUUAUAAGGCAUCUGCCUAAGGUGAUGCCCCAGGCAAUGCCCCAGACACCACCCCAGGAGACAACUCAAACAAGACACUUCAGGCACAGCUGGGGUAAUCUCAUCAGAUGGAGGUGGAAGGGAUAAUUGUUUUACUGGGAAGGGUGGCUUAGCCGGCAAAGUUAGAGAAUCUCUUUAGAUGGGAGUAAGAGGUCUGGUUCUGUUAGGAAGAGCGAUUCAACAGAAAUUGGAGGUUCAUUGUCCCCCGCUUCCUGACUAUCUGCCCAUAUGUCCUCAUCCCAAGUUUCAGGAUCCCAUUUCUUCCCAAUCAGUGCCCUUACUUUAACUUCAGAAACCAUUUGAGGUUGGAUAUUCAACUGGUGCUUUAAUUCAGUCACUCUUAUGAUAAGAAUCUGAGUUUAUUUUUGGCAGCAUUAGCCUUGUUAGUAUAAGAAAUAUGGUUUUCUUUCUGGGCACAAGUGGCAGCUUUCAGAUCUUGUAUGUGGUGCUUGAGCUUUGAGUCCAUUUCUUUCAUUCACCAGUGUGGCUAGCAAAAGCAGGACCAACCAAGCAGCUUCCUUAUUAUUCUUAUUCUGACAAAAUUAUAGAAAAGUAUCAAAUAUGUAAUCAGGCAGAGCCUUGUCUCUCACAAAUAUUUGAUCCAGUUGUAGUAGUAUUUUGCGUAUUUCUAUUGUCACCUCCCACCAUGGAUUAGCAAUAGCCUAUUUACUACUGGAGACAGUCAUCAGUGCCUUUAAGAUUAGCCAGACUUGAGAAUCAAUUCAGAAAACUCAUCCUUAAGAUUUGGUUCCUCUGGAACCAGUGUAGGUACCAAAUGUCUUAGCCUGGGAUCUCUAGAGAUGCAAAACUGGUGAACAGAAUAUAUAUAUACACACAUAUAUAUAUAAAAAAAAAGAGUGUGUGUAUAUAUACGUGUGUGUAUGUGUGUGUAUAUAUAUAUAUAUAUAUAUAUAAAAAAAUUUUUUUUUUUAUAUGGAAACCCUA